UCAACUUGCACAUAUAUAUAUAAGCAUGGUUGCUCCUAAUAGCUUCAGCUUGCAUGUAUAAACAUUAGAUUUUGUACAAAUCCAAAAAAAUGGUUCAAACAAGAAUUGAAAUUAUGGGUCUUUUAAUAUUGAUGGCUCUUCUAAUUUCCUCACAAGUUGCAGACGCUCGGCACCUCAAUCGAGUUUCAUAUAAAGAAGGUGAGAAGAUGAUGAGAAGCUAUGCACGUUAUCGGUGCCCCCAUGGAUGUUGUAAUGAUAUUGGUGCUGUUGCGGAUGCUGAUGCCGGUCCUGGUGCUCCUCGUACAGCCGUAGCAGCCGGGCGUACCCCAUAUUGUCGCUGCUGCGAUUAGCCAACAAUAGCCCUAGUAUAUUAGCUUGAUGUAUUUUUAUGUAAAAUUAAUUAAUGUGUUAAAAUAAAUAAAUACUAGUAGUACUCUAUAAAGGAAAGGAAACGAAAUUUAAGUUAAUGUAUUUCUAAUUAACUGUUCAA